AUUUUACGUUUGUGCUGUCAAUCAUGAACAUAUUCCAAGACUGCGAAAUAACUUCCGACAUCGGUAUUAGUCACAGAAAGGCUAACCAAAUUUUGAAGCAGUUUUUGGCAAAUGAGGCCGAGUAUAGACAGCUCGUACCGGAAGUUAGAGUCAACCUAGAAUUGCUGCAGAAAUAUCUCGCCGAGUCUCAAAGUGUACCGACGAGUGCGCGAAAGGACCAAUUCGAGCACUAAAGAGGGGCGAAUCCUCACAAAAUUGGGCAGACCGGUCCGGACGUCUCUGAUACGAAUGACGGUGCUCGACCGCCGCUCGCAAGAUGUAUCGCCGCGCUUUGACGGGUGAAAAUGUGUCAUAAAAUUGCGCGAUAACGGCUUUUUGAAUUGGAGAACAUCGCGUUUGACAGCUUUUGGAUUGUGUUUUUUACAGGCAUCCCGUCAAAAAGGAGCGUUGGUGUUUGGUGUUGAUUCGGUCAAGGGUCAAGCAGCUUAUGUGAAAAAAUUUUUGAUAUUUUACAGGAGUCACCGGUUUAUUUGGUUGCUUUUAUAGUUUUGCGGUAGGAUGCCUUGGCCCUGGCCUUCAGAAAGGAUUUUGGUCCACGAUGCGCCGAAGUUUCUAUACAUGCUGAGAAGCCAUUCUUCUUCCUUGGGGUUCCAAAUUUUUCGCUUUUUGAUUUGGCAUCCUUUUGAAUCUGGGGAGGGGGAGAAAACGUUAGUACGUAUAAAAAAGUCUCUGCUCUACCGCGAUGCAACGUAGAUGAAGAGGAUCGGAGCUCAUGACGAUCUAAUUCAAGGUCAAGAUGAUCUAGUCAAGGUCAAGUUAGACGAGAUGGCGUAGUGGAGGGGAUAUCUUGACAGAUCACUUGAGUGAGAUAGUACAGUUGGCUCGUUCUCUCUCUGCGACCCGCAAAGAGGGUCCGUCGAUGCGUGGGCGAAAAUAUACAUGGUUCUAAGCGUAUUAUGCGUACAGUUGUUCGAUCUGUUGAUUAGGUUAUUUAGGCCUAUUCCUGGGCUUGUUUGAGAAACCGUUGGCUCGGCGCUUUCAUGCUCGCCUUCUGAUUCGUGUGAGUCGAUUGGCGAGCUGUUAGACUGUUCUGCGUCCGUUGGAGGCUUUUGCGAAGCGGCGUGUUUUUUCUGCUGGUUAGCUAUGAUCAUUUGGUCGUAUUUUUCUCGGCGCUUUUCUCUCCAAUUAGAGGGAGGAGGUGAAAGAGACGUGAAGCGUUGAGUGGGUGGUGUGGACUUUGCGAGGGACGUUGGGGAAUCAGAUCUGCCGAUUAAGCGAGACGAGAGAGUCUCUUCGCUUGGAGAGCAACAAGAAUUGGUUUGCGAAUCGUUUAGGAAGUUUUUUGAAGUUGCGUUUUCAGACGACGUGUCAGAACGGCGUUUCCUAUUGGACCUAACUGGAGAGAUGAUUCCGUAACGCGGUUCGGUUGGUCGAGUUCUGCUUCGGUGGGUGUAUCGUAUCUCCGAUGCGACAUCGUCAUCUUCUUGAUCUGAAUUUCUUGUGUGUUCACUAUCUGUUUUUUCUGCUUCCUCGGCAGAGUUCGAUUCUUGGUCGUUACUCGACUCCGACGAAGAGACUUGUUCGCAGCGCAUAGAAUAGUCCAUGUCGGCAGCCACGUGGUAAAUCGUCGGCUUUCCAAACUCCUCCCUCAAUGGUCUUAUGAACUCCUUCAGCAAAUCUAAAAACUUUUCAACAGGGUGCGCCAGUUCGAUCUUUUUUAGCUCAGAAUCUUCUUCGCUCAACUGUUUUUUUGAGUGGAAUGCACGAAGGGCUUCUCGAAACUCCCUUUCCAACAUGUUUUUUCUCGAUGUCUGGACGUACGCCAAAAUAUCGUAUGACUCGUGCGCGGCGCGAAACACCUUUUCGAAAACCAUAUCGGGGCGUUCUUCUUUGUUCUUCAACGCAAAGAUGAGCUUUUGACUCGUUAUUUCUAUCAAAAGGUCCGAGCGCAGCGCUUGACGAGCGGUCGCCGUCUCCAACUUGCACAGUUCGAUGAGCUGGCUAAUCAUCUGGUCUGAUAUGCCCGUGAUUAGAAAUUCGCCCGUCACAAAAUAGUUAUAGAAGCUGCUCAAUUUUGUCCGUCUAGAGAUAUUCAAAAACUUAUCCCAAGGCAGUAGGUGCUCGUAUUGAUACAGACAUUCGUUGAUCGCUUCGUCGAAAAAAAGUCAGCAAUUUCGCCUGCGAAGAACGGGUCGAGUGCAUGACCGUUAAAGCAGUGCCCUGGCUCUAAAAAAAAAAAGAGAGGCGUACCCUUCAUGACUUCCUGUGCACCAUAGUAGGUGACGUAGUCGAGGAGGCACAUAACAGCCACUGGUGAAUCCAGGAGCGGAGGCCUAUUUGGAUCUGGAGGCAUAUUCGAGAGGCGGGUCCAGAAGAAAAGAUGAAGAAAAAAGGAAAAAAAGUA